AUCCGCCAACCGCACGCAGGACACGACACGGACCCGACGUGACGUGUGACGCAACCAUUCGAGUCUGAGAAAUAGCCCGGAACGGAUGAGAGACGGCUAUUCGCGCUGCGUGGCGCGCUUGUGGACGUUUUGCUUGUUUUGUUGGCGUUUGUUUUGGGGGAACGAGUAAGCGAGCCAGCUUUAAAUGUGAUAAACCGUAACCCCGAAAAAAAGAAUUCCGUGUCUCAAAAUGUGAAGAACAAUUCCUCGUUCCAUGUGCAGUGCAGUGUGAAGAAAAUUCGCCAGUUCCCCGAACGCCCGUGAUCAUGCCGUAGUCAAUUGUCGUGUGAAGUGUCCUUAAGGUGGUGGUGCCAAGUGCGGGACAUUUCCUACGAAUCACACUUCCGGUGGAAAGGUAAACUUUUCCCAACCGGUCGGGCAGUGCAAAAAGUGAUAACAGGAGAGAGAGUGGGAAGAAAACAGCCAAAAGAAAAAACACACUCAGUGCUCAAAUUAUCAGCCCUGCGUGGGGUUUGUUUAACGGUGUUUGUACAGGCCGGAGAGGGCGAGAGAACCCACCCACCCACCGGGGAAUCGUUUCGCCAAGUGGACGCACACCGUACGGGACGAUGUUUAUCUUUCUGCUGUUUGCCUCGGACGGGUGCCGAAAUGUGUGCCAAAUAUUCUCCCAGCGUCUGGUGGCCCGGCUCCGUAAGCAUCGGCGCAAACGGGACGACGGUGACACCCCAAAGUCACCCCGCUGGACGGCCUGCUUAAGGACGUGGAUCAAGUGUGUCUGUGCCGGGGUCUGUGUUACCGCGCCGCAGCAAACCACAACCACCGGGGAGCGUGUGUGCGUCGAAGAAGCCCGAAUCGUUGGAUGGACUACGGUGGCCAAGCUGCUGUGCCAGAAGCUACUGCACCAGGCGUGAUCAGGUGGAAGCCAAGGACGAACUUUUACACCGGGCGGGGAAGAAGAAGGCGGGCAGGUGGAGUGGCUCAAGCGAAGGAGAAACAACGUGUGGAAUUAUUGGAACAAAACCCUUGCUGGCAGCAAACCGCAACCCGCGGGUUCCCGCAGCGUGGGAGCGAGCGUUUCAAAAUGGCAGUGUUUCGAGGCAAUGAAUGUUACCGGUUCUGCAUUGGAUGGGUGAUUUUACAGACGCGCUUGGAGUGGCGUAUAUGUGUUUAGGGCGAUUCGUGACUGGGGGGAAGGAACACUGAUCCGUAGUAAGCGCUAAACGUCUCGCUUGCUUUUCCUUUUCAUCUUCGUAGUAUGUAACGUGCUCAAACUGUUCUGUCUGUUUCUGAUGUGGCCAAUCUAAACGGAACAAUCUGACCGUUCCGACUCUCCGAAAGUUUAACGUGUAAGUAAGAAUGCAAUACAAAGUUUUGUUUCUUUUCGCUAGUAGCGUAAAAGUGGUUUAAUAGUUUGUAAUAUAAAGUGCGAGAACGGGAGAGAAAAUGAUACAUAAAUGAUGCUAAUAAUACUGUUUCUGAUAGCAUAAUUGA